rnacentral:lncRNA from 1 species
ACAGAUGGCAUUUUCCAGGGCCAAGUGGAACUUAUAGCGGGACAAGAAAGCCAAGAGCUCUGGAUCCUCGGUGGUGGCCGUGGCUGUGUCCUGUAGCCGCGCGGUAGGCAGCUCCCGAUUCUGCAGGCAGGUAAGAGCCGAGGGUAGAAGAAGACAUUGGUCUCAGUCACAUCCAUGGAGGUAACUAGCUGUCGGACAUAGGCACGGUCAUCAGUAGUGACUUCAGCUCCAGGCUGCAGGACAUCACUCUUCAACACACAGUUCAGCAGUAAUCUACAGUGGCCAAGAAUUCAUAAGAGCCCAGGGAUAGCUCAGGGCGGUCAUAAGCAUCCACACGUUUGCCGAACAUACCAUCAUUGAUACAGCUGCAAAAACAGCACUGGAAACGCCUCCCUCCUUCAAUGAACUGCAUGAAGGGACACAUGUAUGCUUUGCAGCGGUUGCAGCGCAAAGGGCCAGAUUCCCCAUGGUCCACAACAUACGGUGAAGCCUAAG